UACGGGGGGAGCAAGCGUUGUUCGGAUUUACUGGGCGUAAAGGGCGCGUAGGCGGUCAGCACAAGUCAGUUGUGAAAUCUCCGGGCUUAACUCGGAAAGGUCAACUGAUACUGUGCGACUAGAGUGCGGAAGGGGCAACUGGAAUUCUCGGUGUAGCGGUGAAAUGUGUAGAUAUCGAGAGGAACACCUGCGGCGAAGGCGGCUGCCUGGACCAGUCCUGACGCUGAGGCGCGAAAGCUAGGGGAGCAAACAGG
rnacentral:rRNA from 1 species